rnacentral:rRNA from 1 species
UCGAACGCGAAAGCCCCGCAAGGGGUAAGUAGAGUGGCAAACGGGUGAGUAACACGUGGGUGACCUGCCUUCGAGUGGGGGAUAACGUCCCGAAAGGGACGCUAAUACCGCAUGACAUCCUGCUCUUGGACGAGCGGAGAUCAAAGCCGGGGAUCGCAAGACCUGGCGCUUGAAGAGGGGCCCGCGCCUGAUUAGCUAGUUGGUGGGGUAAUGGCUCACCAAGGCGACGAUCAGUAUCCGGCCUGAGAGGGCGGACGGACACACUGGGACUGAGACACGGCCCAGACUCCUACGGGAGGCAGCAGUGGGGAAUUGUUCGCAAUGGGCGCAAGCCUGACGACGCAACGCCGCGUGGAGGACGAAGAUCUUCGGGUCGUAAACUCCUGUCGAGCGGGAAGAAACCCGCGGGGGUGAAUAAUCCCUGCGGCUGACGGUACCGCUAAAGGAAGCCCCGGCUAACUCCGUGCCAGCAGCCGCGGUAAUACGGGGGGGGCAAGCGUUG